rnacentral:rRNA from 1 species
UACAUGUGGGGCAAGCGUUGUUCGGAAUUACUGGGCAUAAAGGGUGCGUAGGCGGUUUGUUAAGUCACAGGUGAAAGUUUUCGGCCCAACCGGAAAAUUGCCUGCGAUACUGGCGAACUCGGAGUGCGUGAGGGGUAGGGGGAACGAGCAGUGUAGCGGUGAAAUGCUUAGAUAUGACAUAGGAACGACCAACUUGACGGAAGGCCAGCUACGUCGUAA